CCUUCGGGGUGCAGCAGUAGGGAAUUUUGCGCAAUGGGCGAAAGCCUGACGCAGCAACGCCGCGUGAUCGAGACGCCCUUCGGGGUGUAAAGAUCUGUCAGUGGGGACGAAACUUGACGGUUACCUCAGAGGAAGCCCCGGCUUACUACGUGCCAGCAGCCGCGGUAAUACGGGGGGUGCAAGCGUUUUCCGGAAUUAUUGGGCGUAAAGAGUUCGUAGGCGGCCCGUAAAGUCUGGUGUUAAAGGCAGAGGCUCAACUUCGGUACCGCAGUGGAUACUUGCGAGCUAGAAUGCGGUAGAGGUAGAGGGAAUUCCUGGUGUAGCGGUGAAAUGCUUAGAUAUCAGGAGGAACAUCAGUGGCGUAGGCGCUUUACUGGGCCGUAAUUGACGCUGAGGAACGAAAGCCAGGGUAGCAAAUGGGAUUAGAUACCCGAGUAGUC
rnacentral:rRNA from 1 species